rnacentral:rRNA from 1 species
GAAGGCCUUCGGGUUGUAAACUGCUUUUGUACGGAACGAAAAAGCUCCUUCUAAUACAGGGGGCCCAUGACGGUACCGUAAGAAUAAGCACCGGCUAACUACGUGCCAGCAGCCGCGGUAAUACGUAGGGUGCGAGCGUUAAUCGGAAUUACUGGGCGUAAAGCGUGCGCAGGCGGUUAUGUAAGACAGAUGUGAAAUCCCCGGGCUCAACCUGGGAACUGCAUUUGUGACUGCAUGGCUAGAGUACGGUAGAGGGGGAUGGAAUUCCGCGUGUAGCAGUGAAAUGCGUAGAUAUGCGGAGGAACACCCAUGGCGAAGGCAAUCCCCUGGACCUGUACUGACGCUCAUGCACGAAAGCGUGGGGAGCAAACAGGAUUAGAUACCCUGGUAGUCCACGCCCUAAACGAUGUCAACUGGUUGUUGGGAAUUAUUUUUCUCA